GGAUUAGUAACGUUGGUCAGUGCCUCCGGUAYGCACUGGYKUUACUGAUUCCUMCCUUCUGAUCGAACCGUAAUGUCAUUAAUUUGGUGUKGCRGGGAAUCAGGACUGUUACUUUGAAAAAAUUAGAGUGUUUAAAGCAGGCAUACGCUUGAAUACAUUAGCAUGGAAUAAUGAAAUAGGACGUUUGAUCCUAUUUUGUUGGUUUCUAGGAUUGACGUA
rnacentral:rRNA from 1 species